AAACCUAGGGCGCGAGCC
rnacentral:snRNA from 1 species